rnacentral:rRNA from 1 species
GACGAACGCUGGCGGCGUGCCUAAUACAUGCAAGUCGAGCGCAGGAAAUCGUCCGAACCCUUCGGGGGGACGUUGAUGGAAUGAGCGGCGGACGGGUGAGUAACACGUAAAGAACCUGCCCUUAGGUCUGGGAUAACCACGAGAAAUCGGGGCUAAUACCGGAUGGGUCAUCGGACCGCAUGGUCCGAGGAUGAAAGGAGCUUCGGCGGCGCCUGGGGAAGGCUUGGCGGUGCAUUAGCUAGUUGGUGGGGUAAUGGCCCACCAAGGCGACGAUGCAUAGCCGACCUGAGAGGGUGAUCGGCCACACUGGGACUGAGACACGGCCCAGACUCCUACGGGAGGCAGCAGUAGGGAAUCUUCCACAAUGGACGAAAGUCUGAUGGAGCAACGCCGCGUGAACGAUGAAGGCCUUCGGGUCGUAAAGUUCUGUUGUAAGGGAAGAACAAGUGCCGCAGGCAAUGGCGGCACCUUGACGGUACCUUGCGAGAAAGCCACGGCUAACUACGUGCCAGCAGCCGCAGUAACAC